rnacentral:rRNA from 1 species
UAGGGAAUCUUCGGCAAUGGACGAAAGUCUGACCGAGCAACGCCGCGUGAGUGAAGAAGGUUUUCGGAUCGUAAAACUCUGUUGUUAGAGAAGAACAAGGACGUUAGUAACUGAACGUCCCCUGACGGUAUCUAACCAGAAAGCCACGGCUAACUACGUGCCAGCAGCCGCGGUAAUACGUAGGUGGCAAGCGUUGUCCGGAUUUAUUGGGCGUAAAGCGAGCGCAGGCGGUUUCUUAAGUCAGAUGUGAAAGCCCCCGGCUCAACCGGGGAGGGUCAUUGGAAACUGGGAGACUUGAGUGCAGAAGAGGAGAGUGGAAUUCCAUGUGUAGCGGUGAAAUGCGUAGAUAUAUGGAGGAACACCAGUGGCGAAGGCGGCUCUCUGGUCUGUAACAGACGCUGAGGCUCGAAAGCGUGGGGAGCAAACAGG